ensembl:snoRNA SNORD115 Small nucleolar RNA SNORD115
AGGUAAAUGAUGAGAACUUAUAUUGUCUUGAAGAGAGCUAAUGACCUAAUAGUCACGUUCAGGAGAAUUACACUGGGGCCC